rnacentral:lncRNA from 14 species
CUCUAGGCUCCUAUGAACCCCAAUGAGAUGCAUCCCCCAUCACAGGACAUCCCCCUCUGGGCUAAGACCACCUCUCCUCUCUAUACAGGAUAGAGUAUGCCCCUACUUCCUGCUCUCUGUUCCUGUGGGUCAGUGAGAGCUCAGAAUGAGCUGCCCAUUCAGAUCCAGGCCAGAGCCCAACCCACUUCUGCCAGCCCACC